AUGUAAAUCUUUGGGCCAAGAAGGUGUUCAGUAAAAUGCUACAUAUUUUCUCUCGUUGAUUCAUGAGUUCUUGAAAACCUAACGUUAUGUGUGAAAGCUCCCUCCCGGGGAGCACCCGUCCGUCCAUGCAACAUCUAGUCAGGAACCUUCCGUGUGGCAGUCACAGGGCUGAGUGCCAGCCUCAGAAGGCACAAUCUCUGCAGCUAAGAGGCUGGGGACCUUGCCUCAGAAGAAAAAGAGUAAGUCACCCAUGGGGCCGGCCGGAGGCCCCUGAUGCAGUCACCACCUAUGAAGCAACCGUGUUACUCAUGAGGUAAGAGGGCCCCUGAUAUGGUGCCUGGCGUCUAGAAACCGCUCACCAUCCAUGAGCUUCCUGUGGCCUAUUGUGCAAGCAAGAAAACCGAAGCUCACAGAGGUCGGGGGACUUGCCUGCGAUCACACAGCAAGGGGCAGCCUCCAAGUCCAGGCCUCUCUCCAAAUUCCACUGGAAGAGAAUCCACAUGAGAACGAAAAUCCUACAUUCAGAGCUGGAAGCAAAGGGUCUUUCUCUUGGGGCUCCGUGAAGUGUUUCAACAAGCCUAAUUUGGCUGGGACUUCCUAAAAAGAAACCUGGGCUCUUUCUCCCCAUCACGCCGGCCCCUGGCUGUGCCAAGACCCUUUCUAAGUGGAUGGCAUUGGGAACUGCAGACUGGCCACAGCUGGGCCUUGGCACGGCUUCCCCUGUGGAGCGGAGAGGACGGCCGAGCAGCUGGAAGCCUUCAGAGCCACUGCUGGGGGUCGGGACACCACAGUCCCCUCAGACUAAAUGGUCACGCUUUUCAGGAGGACGGCCGGGGUCCACUCAACUCGCACAGGGGCUGACACAGGCUCCGGGUGUAUUGGUGGCUGUCACAGCCUCUUGUCAUGAGGGGAAGUGGUCUGGUACCUCGGUUCCUCUGUCGGCCGGGUCCCACCACCAACACUGGCUCUGGAGCUCCACUCCGUGCUGAUGGCCACAGGCCUCGGGGCCAAGGGAUAUGGGACAGAUGCAAACAACCUGGUCUUUGGGAGAACCGCCAGCAUCAGCAGCUACCCCAGGAUGAGGAUAUACAAGACGGCCACUCAUUCAUUCCUGGGCAGGGUACCUCGCAGGGGUGGGGGCAGAAAAUGGGGACAGUGGGUCCAUCUGAAUAUUAUACAAGUUUCCUAGGAAACAUCAAGACCAUCAAUUUCACAUUCCGGAGGAAACCAUAAAGGCAUCUAGACUCCUCACCCACACUGAGGGUCAGAAGCACCAAGGAUAUGAGAAGCACCAAGGAGCCAGCUGGUCUAGGGGGAACACAUGUGAAACGACAAUGACAGUACCAGCCAAGUAAUAGCUUCUUGAUUGCCCUCCCCCACUCCUUCCCUCUGAGGGCAUCAGAACCUGAGCAAGAUAAGGAGCGGGAGGAAGAGAGGACAUCACCCUUUCCCCAACUCCAGGCUUCCUGGGAACACCUCCAGAAACAGACACUCAGUCUAACAUCUCAACAGUCAGAACUCCCCUUCCCUCGGCCCACAUCAGACUCAUGCCAAAGCCAUACUCUGGAGCCAUGAGCUCAUCACAUUGCCUUUUCUGACUCUGUGCUUCUUUGGAAAUGUUGUGUCCCUGCUGAGGCAGCAUCGCACGAGGAGACACCUUGGAGGCAAGACAAUGGAAACCCUCCUUGGCCUUCUCAAGGAAUCUCUUCUGUUUCCUGACGCCCGCUGUAGCCAGACAUCAGCAAAGAAAAUAUUCAUGACAUAAUUAAAGAAAAAAAAAAAAA